CCUACGGGUGGCAGCAGUGAGGAAUAUUGGUCAAUGGACGAGAGUCUGAACCAGCCAAGUAGCGUGAAGGAUGACUGCCCUAUGGGUUGUAAACUUCUUUUAUAAAGGAAUAAAACGAGGCACGUGUGCCUUUUUGCAUGUACUUUAUGAAUAAGGAUCGGCUAACUCCGUGCCAGCAGCCGCGGUAAUACGGAGGAUCCGAGCGUUAUCCGGAUUUAUUGGGUUUAAAGGGAGCGUAGACGGGUUGUUAAGUCAGUUGUGAAAGUUUGCGGCUCAACCGUAAAAUUGCAAUUGAUACUGGCAGUCGUGAGUACAGUAGAGGUAGGCGGAAUUCGUGGUGUAGCGGUGAAAUGCUUAGAUAUCACGAAGAACCCCGAUUGCGAAGGCAGCUUACUAAACUGUGACUGACAUUGAUGCUCGAAAGUGUGGGUAUCAAACAGGAUUAGAUACCCGAGUAGUC
rnacentral:rRNA from 1 species